UCCUGGGAAGACAGAGACUCGGAGAACUGAGACCAGCCCUUCUUAAUCUAAACUAAAGCCAAAUUAACUGCAUAUCAAAAGUCACUUUACAAAGCACCUCUCACCUCAGUUUCCAUGAAGCCUAAGCCUGACAGGAGUGGCACCUUCCUUCCAAACCAGAUCAGGGGGGAUGGAAGAGGAAGUGUGGGUCUGCCUGCUUGCCUUUCCUCUGGCCGGCGAGUUCACCUCUCCUGUCACCACCCUGACAACAGAACCAGCUUCUUCAGGUUUCCCCACAGACUGGAGACCAGAAGCUCCCCAGGAAUCUUCCACGCCUUCAGCUCCAAACUGGGACCACUGAGACAUCUGGGCUCUGGACAUCAUGGGCUGAGCAACCUCCAGACUCUGCCUCUCGGCUGUAUCCAGCCAUUGUACCAUGCAAGCUGAUCUAAGGAACCCCCUUUCAAUAAUACUCAUUCUGUGGGUUCUGUCUCUUUAGAAAACCCUGACUAGUACACUAAUAAAAAUGAUUUUUUUAAA